ACAGGCUUAACACAUGCAAGUCGAGGGGAAACGACAUCGAAAGCUUGCUUUUGAUGGGCGUCGACCGGCGCACGGGUGAGUAACGCGUAUCCAACCUGCCCACCACUUGGGGAUAACCUUGCGAAAGUAAGACUAAUACCCAAUGACGUCUCUAGAAGACAUCUGAAAGAGAUUAAAGAUUUAUCGGUGAUGGAUGGGGAUGCGUCUGAUUAGCUUGUUGGCGGGGUAACGGCCCACCAAGGCGACGAUCAGUAGGGGUUCUGAGAGGAAGGUCCCCCACAUUGGAACUGAGACACGGUCCAAACUCCUACGUGAGGCAGCAGUGAGGAAUAUUGGUCAAUGGACGAGAGUCUGAACCAGCCAAGUAGCGUGCAGGAUGACGGCCCUAUGGGUUGUAAACUGCUUUUAUAAGGGAAUAAAGUGAGUCUCGUGAGACUUUUUGCAUGUACCUUAUGAAUAAGGACCGGCUAAUUCCGUGCCAGCAGCCGCGGUAAUACGGAAGGUCCGGGCGUUAUCCGGAUUUAUUGGGUUUAAAGGGAGCGUAGGCCGGAGAUUAAGCGUGUUGUGAAAUGUAGACGCUCAACGUCUGCACUGCAGCGCGAACUGGUUUCCUUGAGUACGCACAAAGUGGGCGGAAUUCGUGGUGUAGCGGUGAAAUGCUUAGAUAUCACGAAGAACUCCGAUUGCGAAGGCAGCUCACUGGAGCGCAACUGACGCUGAAGCUCGAAAAUGCGGGUAUCGAACAGGAUUAGAUACCCUGGUAGUCCGCACGGUAAACGAUGGAUGCCCGCUGUUGGUCUGAAUAGGUCAGCGGCCAAGCGAAAGCAUUAAGCAUCCCACCUGGGGAGUACGCCGGCAACGGUGAAACUCAAAGGAAUUGACGGGGGCCCGCACAAGCGGAGGAACAUGUGGUUUAAUUCGAUGAUACGCGAGGAACCUUACCCGGGCUUGAAUUGCAGAGGAAGGAUUUGGAGACAAUGACGCCCUUCGGGGCCUCUGUGAAGGUGCUGCAUGGUUGUCGUCAGCUCGUGCCGUGAGGUGUCGGCUUAAGUGCCAUAACGAGCGCAACCCCUCUCCUUAGUUGCCAUCAGGUCAAGCUGGGCACUCUGGGGACACUGCCACCGUAAGGUGUGAGGAAGGUGGGGAU
rnacentral:rRNA from 1 species